GGGCGAAAUGAUUCUGGUGUGU
rnacentral:miRNA from 1 species